rnacentral:rRNA from 1 species
UACGUAGGAUCCAAGCGUUGUCCGGAUUUACUGGGUGUAAAGGGUGCGCAGGCGGACUGGUUAGUCUGGGGUGAAAUCUCAUCGCUUAACGGUGAAACUGCCUUAGAUACUGCCAGUCUUGAAUCAGCGAGAGGCUCGUGGAAUUCCGAGUGUAGCAGUGAAAUGUGUAGAUAUUCGGAAGAACACCAGUGGCGAAGGCAGCGAACUGGCGCUCGAUUGACGCUCAGGCACGAAAGCAUGGGGAUCAAACAGG